CUCCCUCUCUGCCUGGAGCAGCUCAGCCUCUGCAUGUAGGCUGUGGAGGGCAGAACUCAUUCAUGCUUGCAGGCUUCUGUCUCAGCUCACAGGAAACCCACUGAAGUCUCUGGGCUGAGAUGGGUGACAGUGCAUUUGCCUUCAAGACUGGCUACCUCUGGCUGCAAGGGAGACCAGCCAACAGUCUCUGUAGACGGUGCUGAGUUCUGGCUUGCUGCCUUUCAGGUGAAAGAACCCAACAUUUCUCUGCUAUCUUCUUUCCCUUGUGUCCUGUUUUCCUCACUGACCCCACAUCCAUCUAUCUGCCUUACAGUAUUAGGGAGGAAGAGGCCAUAUUUUAGCUCUAACCAACCCACUAAGCAUCUUCCUAUACCUUCAUAUUCUCUUUCCCCUGCCUGAAAUGCCCUUUCCAUUACCAAGCAUCUGUAUAUCUGGUGAUCUCCUACUCAUUAUUCCAAACCCAGCUCAAUUUCCACUUAUUCUUUGGAACCUUCUCCAAAUUGUCUAGUGGAGGAAACCACCCCCACUUCGUUUGUGCAGUUAGUGUAGGCUGUCAUGCCCAGCUGGAGGUCAAGGACAAUGACUGAUCUUUCUCUAGAGCCCUAGAGCCCAACCCGGAGUCAAUCCCUGACUCACAGCAGGCACUCAAUAACGGGGCAUGAAUUGCACAGCUGAGCCAUUCCAUGGCUAAGCAUUGUGUCCAACUCCUGCGAACAUGGAUAAAGCAGAGAGUGACCAGAAUGGAAAAGGACCUAAAGAUAUGGCUCUACAGGAAAAGCUCUAAGGUACCAGGCAUGUUUGGGUUGAAGAAAAGAAUAGAAUAGAUCCCUUUGACCACUAUGUGAAAAGCUGCAGAGGAAGCAGGCUUGGCAUGUGUGGCUCUGAGGCCAAAAUUGGAAUCAUUUGUAGAAGUUACAGGAAAGCAGACUUCAGCUGAAAUUAUGAAAAACACUUAAAACAACUACAGUCCUCCAGCUCUGGACUGGCCUAUCUCAAGAGGCCAUCAGGGAACAGAGAGAAACCAUCAGAAGUUGAGGAAGAAGGAACUGACAUCUAUCAGCAUCUGUUCUCGGCUACAUGCCUGUACAUGCAUUACCUCUUUGAUCCUGACAUCAACCAUAGAAGAGAGGACUCAAAAUCCGCAUUAUUGAUGAGGAGAGUGAAGAGGAAAUGAAGUGGGUCCAGGUUUCCACAGCCAAUCAGGAUUCAUACCCAGGCGGCUCUAAAGCUGCAUCACACAAGCUCCCUAAGAAGAGGCCAGGAAGUGAGGGUUAGGAAUCAGUUGAGAAGAAUCCUGCACCUGAAGAAAAUGGAUUGGAAGGGUGCCAAGGUCUUGGCUCUCUGAUGCUACUAAUCCACACUGGGGCAAGGGGUGGGGUUGGAAGGAGCAUAGAAGAUG
rnacentral:lncRNA from 13 species